UUAAUAAGCUAUGAAAAGCAUAUAUUUUGAAAAUAUAUAAAAGAAUUAAAUAUUCUAUUAAUU
rnacentral:tRNA from 1 species